UUAAGGCACUACAUAGUAUUAAACUGAAGAGUUUGAUCAUGGCUCAGAUUGAACGCUGGCGGCAGGCUUAACACAUGCAAGUCGAGCGGGGAAAGGUAGCUUGCUACCUGACCUAGCGGCGGACGGGUGAGUAAUGCUUAGGAAUCUGCCUAUUAGUGGGGGACAACAUCUCGAAAGGGAUGCUAAUACCGCAUACGUCCUACGGGAGAAAGCAGGGGACCUUCGGGCCUUGCGCUAAUAGAUGAGCCUAAGUCGGAUUAGCUAGUUGGUGGGGUAAAGGCCUACCAAGGCGACGAUCUGUAGCGGGUCUGAGAGGAUGAUCCGCCACACUGGGACUGAGACACGGCCCAGACUCCUACGGGAGGCAGCAGUGGGGAAUAUUGGACAAUGGGGGGAACCCUGAUCCAGCCAUGCCGCGUGUGUGAAGAAGGCCUUUUGGUUGUAAAGCACUUUAAGCGAGGAGGAGGCUACCGAGAUUAAUACUCUUGGAUAGUGGACGUUACUCGCAGAAUAAGCACCGGCUAACUCUGUGCCAGCAGCCGCGGUAAUACAGAGGGUGCAAGCGUUAAUCGGAUUUACUGGGCGUAAAGCGCGCGUAGGUGGCCAAUUAAGUCAAAUGUGAAAUCCCCGAGCUUAACUUGGGAAUUGCAUUCGAUACUGGUUGGCUAGAGUAUGGGAGAGGAUGGUAGAAUUCCAGGUGUAGCGGUGAAAUGCGUAGAGAUCUGGAGGAAUACCGAUGGCGAAGGCAGCCAUCUGGCCUAAUACUGACACUGAGGUGCGAAAGCAUGGGGAGCAAACAGGAUUAGAUACCCUGGUAGUCCAUGCCGUAAACGAUGUCUACUAGCCGUUGGGGCCUUUGAGGCUUUAGUGGCGCAGCUAACGCGAUAAGUAGACCGCCUGGGGAGUACGGUCGCAAGA
rnacentral:rRNA from 1 species